rnacentral:rRNA from 1 species
AUUGAACGCUGGCGGCAGGCCUAACACAUGCAAGUCGAGCGGAGCGGCGGACGGGUGAGUAAUGCCUAGGAAUCUGCCUGGUAGUGGGGGAUAACGUCCGGAAACGGGCGCUAAUACCGCAUACUAUCAGAUGAGCCUAGGUCGGAUUAGCUAGUUGGUGGGGUAAAGGCCUACCAAGGCGACGAUCCGUAACUGGUCUGAGAGGAUGAUCAGUCAACCCUGAAACUAGAAACGGUCCCGAAGUCGAAGGGAGGGCUGAGGGGGGAAAUUUGGAAAAUGGGGCAAAGCCUUAUUCCGCCAUGGCGGGGGUGGGAAGAAGGUUUUUGGAUUGUAAAGGACUUUUAGUUGGGAGGCGUUACCAACAGAAUAAGCACCGGCUAACUUCGUGCCAGCAGCCGCGGUAAUAC